rnacentral:rRNA from 1 species
AGGACGAACGCUGGCGGCGUGCUUAACACAUGCAAGUCGAGCGGAAAGGCCCUUCGGGGUACUCGAGCGGCGAACGGGUGAGUAACACGUGAGCAACCUGCCCUCAGCUCUGGGAUAGCUCCGGGAAACCGGAUUAAUACCGGAUAUGACCCUGACUGACAUCGGUCAGGGUGGAAAGGAUUCCGGCUGAGGAUGGGACUCGCGGCCUUAUCAGCUAGUUGGUGAGUAACGGCCCACAAGGCGACGACGGGUA